GACGAUGGAUCACCAGUGAGUGGCGGACGGGCGUAGUAACACGUAGGUAACCUGCCCCGGAGCGGGGGAUAACAUUUGGAAACAGAUGCUAAUACCGCAUAACAACAAAAGCCACAUGGCCUUUUGUUUGAAAGAUGGCUUUGGCUAUCACUCUGGGAUGGACCUGCGGUGCAUUAGCUAGUUGGUAAGGUAACGGCUUACCAAGGCGAUGAUGCAUAGCCGAGUUGAGAGACUGAUCGGCCACAAUGGAACUGAGACACGGUCCAUACUCCUACGGGAGGCAGCAGUAGGGAAUCUUCCACAAUGGGCGCAAGCCUGAUGGAGCAACACCGCGUGAGUGAAGAAGGGUUUCGGCUCGUAAAGCUCUGUUGUUGGAGAAGAACGUGCGUGAGAGUAACUGUUCACGCAGUGACGGUAUCCAACCAGAAAGUCACGGCUAACUACGUGCCAGCAGCCGCGGUAAUACGUAGGUGGCAAGCGUUAUCCGGAUUUAUUGGGCGUAAAGCGAGCGCAGGCGGUUGCUUAGGUCUGAUGUGAAAGCCUUCGGCUUAACCGAAGAAGUGCAUCGGAAACCCGGGCAACUUGAGUGCAGAAGAGGACAGUGGAACUCCAUGUGUAGCGGUGGAAUGCGUA
rnacentral:rRNA from 1 species